rnacentral:snRNA from 1 species
AAAAAGGGUCUUUGUCGUCAGUGACACCCAGUUGCCGAUUGCGAGCGUCUGGGUGGAAUCACGAUCAAAAGAUUUCGGAGACGCAAUUUUUAACAACGGGUGGCAGCUGUUGCUCUUUAAGCACGGCGCCCGG